CUAUUCCACUCCAUUUAGAUCUAAGAAAGAACCCAAUACAAUGAAAUUCCACUAGUAUAAAAAAGAUAAAUAGAUACAAACACAAGGUCUCAAACCUUGUUAUAGAAUUUAUGUUUCAAAGAAAAGAAAUAUCAUAUAUAUUCAGCGAAUGAAAUAGAGUCGGCGAAUGAAGCGGAUUCAUUAACAACUCAAUUUACAGA
rnacentral:lncRNA from 1 species